AUCAUAUAUAAAUAGAGCUGUAACCUACUGAUCUGUAUCAGUGACAGACGGCGGCCAUGAGGAUGACUUCUCUGAAACAUCUGUUCUGUAUCUUGUGCUGUUUUAUGCAAGCUUCUUGUGGACAGAUUGUAUUGUCCCAGACUCCAGAAUAUAUUGUGGUGUCUCCAGGAGAAGAUGUUGUGAUGAAAUGUACAUCCAGCUCCAGUCUUACUCUUGGCUCAACCAGUUACUUACACUGGUAUCAACAGAAACCAGGACAACGGCCAAAGCUUCUUAUCCAUAGUGCAACCUACAGACAUACAGGAGUCCCAGACCGGUUCACUGGAUUCGGAUCUGGAACAGAUUUCACUCUUACAAUCAGAGGAGUGACAGGAGAUGAUAUAGCAGGUUAUUACUGUAUGGAGAGGUAUAGCGGGUAA